AUAAGACCAACAGGUGUUAUUCUCAUGUGUGAUGUACAGAUCUGUGAAUACAUCUGCUGGUUUUUAU
rfam:Strongylocentrotus purpuratus Contig101183_fixed, whole genome shotgun sequence.